AUUGAACGCUGGCGGCAGGCCUAACACAUGCAAGUCGAGCGGAUAAAGGGAGCUCGCUCCUGGAUUCAGCGGCGGACGGGUGAGUAAUGCCUAGGAAUCUGCCUGGUAGUGGGGGAUAACGUCCGGAAACGGGCGCUAAUACCGCAUACGUCCUGAGGGAGAAAGUGGGGGAUCUUCGGACCUCACGCUAUCAGAUGAGCCUAGGUCGGAUUAGCUAGUUGGUGGGGUAAAGGCCUACCAAGGCGACGAUCCGUAACUGGUCUGAGAGGAUGAUCAGUCACACUGGAACUGAGACACGGUCCAGACUCCUACGGGAGGCAGCAGUGGGGAAUAUUGGACAAUGGGCGAAAGCCUGAUCCAGCCAUGCCGCGUGUGUGAAGAAGGUCUUCGGAUUGUAAAGCACUUUAAGUUGGGAGGAAGGGCAGUAAGUUAAUACCUUGCUGUUUUGACGUUACCAACAGAAUAAGCACCGGCUAACUUCGUG
rnacentral:rRNA from 1 species